rnacentral:rRNA from 1 species
UACGUAGGGUCCGAGCGUUGUCCGGAAUUAUUGGGCGUAAAGAGCUCGUAGGCGGCUCGGUAAGUCAGGUGUGAAAACUCUAGGCUCAACCUAGAGACGCCACCUGAUACUGCCGUGGCUAGAGUCCGGUAGGGGAGCAUGGAAUUCCUGGUGUAGCGGUGAAAUGCGCAGAUAUCAGGAGGAACACCAGUGGCGAAGGCGGUGCUCUGGGCCGGAACUGACGCUGAGGAGCGAAAGCGUGGGGAGCAAACAGG